UUUCAAUUGGUAUGACAUGGUGGGGUUAAAUUGGGCUGCGAUACCGUCCCAAAGGCAAAACGCAAUUUACAAAAACUGAAAUUGGCAAAUCUUAUGUUUGACCCUGUAACUUUCCAAAUCACCAUAAAACCUGUAAUUGACGGGUACUGUUCUAUUUGUGUAGAGUAAUGUCUUACAAGUACGAGUGUUUUAGAGCAGUAAAAUGUAUUAUACUGAUAUCAUCGGUGAAAU